rfam:Erwinia billingiae strain Eb661 complete chromosome.
AAUGCACAAACGACCGUUCUUCUUCGCAUUCUUUUUUACCUUCUUUACCUUCCCCUGAUUGGGAGGCAAUUCGUCGUGUAAGAAUGAAUGCGAAGACGAACUACAAAGCCUCCCCAGCGGGAGGCUUUUUUUUU